rnacentral:rRNA from 1 species
AUUGAACGCUGGCGGCAUGCUUUACACAUGCAAGUCGAACGGCAGCGCGGGCUUCGGCCUGGCGGCGAGUGGCGAACGGGUGAGUAAUACAUCGGAACGUGCCCAGUAGUGGGGGAUAGCUCGGCGAAAGCCGGAUUAAUACCGCAUACGACCUGAGGGUGAAAGCGGGGGAUCUUCGGACCUCGCGCUAUUGGAGCGGCCGAUGGCAGAUUAGCUAGUUGGUGGGGUAAAGGCCUACCAAGGCGACGAUCUGUAGCUGGUCUGAGAGGACGACCAGCCACACUGGGACUGAGACACGGCCCAGACUCCUACGGGAGGCAGCAGUGGGGAAUUUUGGACAAUGGGCGAAAGCCUGAUCCAGCAAUGCCGCGUGUGUGAUGAAGGCCUUCGGGUUGUAAAGCACUUUUGGCGGGAACGAAAAGGACUGUGCCAAUACCACGGUUCGAUGACGGUACCCGCGGAAUAAGCACCGGCUAACUACGUG